GGGUUGUGAGGUUAAGCGACUAAGCGUACACGGUGGAUGCCCUGGCAGUCAGAGGCGAUGAAGGGCGUGCUAAUCUGCGAUAAGCGCCGGUAAGGUGAUAUGAACCGUUAUAACCGGCGAUACCCGAAUGGGGAAACCCAGUGUGAUUCGUCACACUAUCAUUAACUGAAUCCAUAGGUUAAUGAGGCGAACCGGGGGAACUGAAACAUCUAAGUACCCCGAGGAAAAGAAAUCAACCGAGAUUCCCCCAGUAGCGGCGAGCGAACGGGGAGGAGCCCAGAGCCUGAAUCAGCAUGUGUGUUAGUGGAAGCGUCUGGAAAGGCGCGCGAUACAGGGUGACAGCCCCGUACACAAAAGCGCAUGUGCUGUGAGCUCGAUGAGUAGGGCGGGACACGUGGUAUCCUGUCUGAAUAUGGGGGGACCAUCCUCCAAGGCUAAAUACUCCUGACUGACCGAUAGUGAACCAGUACCGUGAGGGAAAGGCGAAAAGAACCCCGGCGAGGGGAGUGAAAAAGAACCUGAAACCGUGUACGUACAAGCAGUGGGAGCACCCUUUGGGUGUGACUGCGUACCUUUUGUAUAAUGGGUCAGCGACUUAUAUUCUGUAGCAAGGUUAACCGAAUAGGGGAGCCGGAGGGAAACCGAGUCUUAACCGGGCGUUAAGUUGCAGGGUAUAGACCCGAAACCCGGUGAUCUAGCCAUGGGCAGGUUGAAGGUUGGGUAACACUAACUGGAGGACCGAACCGACUAAUGUUGAAAAAUUAGCGGAUGACCUGUGGCUGGGGGUGAAAGGCCAAUCAAACCGGGAGAUAGCUGGUUCUCCCCGAAAGCUAUUUAGGUAGCGCCUCGUGAAUUCAUCUCCGGGGGUAGAGCACUGUUUCGGCUAGGGGGCCAUCCCGGCUUACCAACCCGAUGCAAACUGCGAAUACCGGAGAAUGUUAUCACGGGAGACACACGGCGGGUGCUAACGUCCGUCGUGAAGAGGGAAACAACCCAGACCGCCAGCUAAGGUCCCAAAGUCAUGGUUAAGUGGGAAACGAUGUGGGAAGGCCCAGACAGCCAGGAUGUUGGCUUAGAAGCAGCCAUCAUUUAAAGAAAGCGUAAUAGCUCACUGGUCGAGUCGGCCUGCGCGGAAGAUGUAACGGGGCUAAACCAUGCACCGAAGCUGCGGCAGCGACACUGUGUGUUGUUGGGUAGGGGAGCGUUCUGUAAGCCUGUGAAGGUGUGUCGUGAGGCAUGCUGGAGGUAUCAGAAGUGCGAAUGCUGACAUAAGUAACGAUAAAGCGGGUGAAAAGCCCGCUCGCCGGAAGACCAAGGGUUCCUGUCCAACGUUAAUCGGGGCAGGGUGAGUCGACCCCUAAGGCGAGGCCGAAAGGCGUAGUCGAUGGGAAACGGGUUAAUAUUCCCGUACUUGGUGUUACUGCGAAGGGGGGACGGAGAAGGCUAUGUUGGCCGGGCGACGGUUGUCCCGGUUUAAGCGUGUAGGCUGGUUUUCCAGGCAAAUCCGGAAAAUCAAGGCUGAGGCGUGAUGACGAGGCACUACGGUGCUGAAGCAACAAAUGCCCUGCUUCCAGGAAAAGCCUCUAAGCAUCAGGUAACAUCAAAUCGUACCCCAAACCGACACAGGUGGUCAGGUAGAGAAUACCAAGGCGCUUGAGAGAACUCGGGUGAAGGAACUAGGCAAAAUGGUGCCGUAACUUCGGGAGAAGGCACGCUGACACGUAGGUGAAGUGAUUUACUCAUGGAGCUGAAGUCAGUCGAAGAUACCAGCUGGCUGCAACUGUUUAUUAAAAACACAGCACUGUGCAAACACGAAAGUGGACGUAUACGGUGUGACGCCUGCCCGGUGCCGGAAGGUUAAUUGAUGGGGUCAGCGCAAGCGAAGCUCCUGAUCGAAGCCCCGGUAAACGGCGGCCGUAACUAUAACGGUCCUAAGGUAGCGAAAUUCCUUGUCGGGUAAGUUCCGACCUGCACGAAUGGCGUAAUGAUGGCCAGGCUGUCUCCACCCGAGACUCAGUGAAAUUGAACUCGCUGUGAAGAUGCAGUGUACCCGCGGCAAGACGGAAAGACCCCGUGAACCUUUACUAUAGCUUGACACUGAACAUUGAGCCUUGAUGUGUAGGAUAGGUGGGAGGCUUUGAAGUGUGGACGCCAGUCUGCAUGGAGCCGACCUUGAAAUACCACCCUUUAAUGUUUGAUGUUCUAACGUGGACCCGUUACCCGGGUUGCGGACAGUGUCUGGUGGGUAGUUUGACUGGGGCGGUCUCCUCCUAAAGAGUAACGGAGGAGCACGAAGGUUGGCUAAUCCUGGUCGGACAUCAGGAGGUUAGUGCAAUGGCAUAAGCCAGCUUGACUGCGAGCGUGACGGCGCGAGCAGGUGCGAAAGCAGGUCAUAGUGAUCCGGUGGUUCUGAAUGGAAGGGCCAUCGCUCAACGGAUAAAAGGUACUCCGGGGAUAACAGGCUGAUACCGCCCAAGAGUUCAUAUCGACGGCGGUGUUUGGCACCUCGAUGUCGGCUCAUCACAUCCUGGGGCUGAAGUAGGUCCCAAGGGUAUGGCUGUUCGCCAUUUAAAGUGGUACGCGAGCUGGGUUUAGAACGUCGUGAGACAGUUCGGUCCCUAUCUGCCGUGGGCGCUGGAGAACUGAGGGGGGCUGCUCCUAGUACGAGAGGACCGGAGUGGACGCAUCACUGGUGUUCGGGUUGUCAUGCCAAUGGCACUGCCCGGUAGCUAAAUGCGGAAGAGAUAAGUGCUGAAAGCAUCUAAGCACGAAACUUGCCCCGAGAUGAGUUCUCCCUGAGACUUAGAGUCUCCUGAAGGAACGUUGAAGACGACGACGUUGAUAGGCCGGGUGUGUAAGCGCAGCGAUGCGUUGAGCUAACCGGUACUAAUGAACCGUGAGGCUUAACCUUACAACGCCG
rnacentral:rRNA from 1 species